ensembl:misc_RNA 7SK 7SK RNA
GGAUGUGAGGGCGAUCUGGCUGCAACAUCUGUCACCCCAUUGAUCGUAAGGGUUGAUUCGGCGGAUCUGGCUGGCUAGGUGGGUGUCUCCUUCCUCCCUCACCACUCCACGUGGGUCCCUCCGAGGCUGAAGAGGAUGACCAUCCCCGAUAGAGGAGGACCGAUCUUCAGUCAGGGCAUGUGAGGAGCUGCGCUCCCCUGCUAGAACCUCCAAACAAGCUCUCAGGUUCUGCCACUGGAAGUGUAUUAACAUAUCUCUGCUCCCUGAAAACACCCAUGCUUUCUGAGCUUUUGUCUCCAU